AACAGAUUGUCAAAACACAACAAUGUUUAUGUUUGCUCAAUUGGGAAAGACACAGCAUGAACAGCAUCUUCUGCUUCAUGAGAAGGAGUGGGCUCUAUCUGAUCAUGUCUCUGCAUUUAUAGAGUUGACUAAAGAUCAAGAGGAGAGUUCCAAUCAAAAUAUCUCUGAAUAGAGAAUAUCGUUAUUCAUUUGUUAUAAGCAAGAAAUUUGCCAGCCAAAAUGAAUCAAAGGACAGGAGGAGUCUCUCACGAUUACAGGAUUGGAGAAGGAUUUUUACAUUGUAACAGUAACAGGAAUGUACAUGGAAAACAGCUCAACCUGGAUGUGACCCUCAGACAGAAGUCCUGGUUCUGACCCCUGCUUCUCCUGACCAGCUCUGUAAACUUGAACAAGAGAGUCAACCAAAUCCAGUGGCCAAUGAUGGAGCAGGGAGACCCAGCGCUCACCUCCUCCCAUGGGUAUACAAAAGCUACAACUAUUUACAGAGCAACCAGCUAUGAGAACAACCUGAAGACUAACAGAAAAGC